AUGAGAAAUAAUUCAUAUUCAGUUCAGGUUGUUCAAUUGGUACCGGAGCCAUUUUGGUUGGACCUUUUUUCUCUUUUGUUUAGGGUUUUAGCUGUUUUGGGCACUUGCCUACUGUCAAUAUUGUGUAGUGUCCAAAGUAGCAGCACUAUUCACCUCAAAAGCAUCUUACAGGCCGUGCAUGAACUGCCACAAGACCCUGUUGCAUGCGAGGUGAGUCUUGAUAUGCCAUGGUUUGGCUUAUGGGUUUGUCCGCGUGCGUAUCCCUUCUGA